AUUCUCUUAGUAUAAACAGUACAAUUAACUUCCAAUUAAUAAGCCCCGAUAAACCCGAGAGAGAAUA
rnacentral:tRNA from 1 species